rnacentral:lncRNA from 1 species
UGAGUUGGUGUCUUCUAUGGUGGCCUGGAAUCCGAGGUGCCUUCCUGAUUAUGAAAUUAGGAGGAAACCUCGAUUAGUCGUGAGUUUGUUAAUGAUUAUGGGAUUAGGAGAUAGACCUCGAUUAGGUGGGGUUUUGUUUUUUUAGUGUUAUCUUAUGUAUUUCUUUUUCAUCGGACUUUGUUCGUCUUGUGCAUAAACUUAAUUAUUAAUAUAUUUUCCAUUCAAAAAAAAUUACAGACACAAUUGUAAAGUCUCGAGUUCGAAUUUAAGUAAAUG